UACGUAGGGUGCAAGCGUUAAUCGGAAUUACUGGGCGUAAAGCGUGCGCAGGCGGUUUUGUAAGUCUGUCGUGAAAGCCCCGGGCUCAACCUGGGAAUUGCGAUGGAGACUGCAAGGCUUGAAUCUGGCAGAGGGGGGUAGAAUUCCACGUGUAGCAGUGAAAUGCGUAGAGAUGUGGAGGAACACCGAUGGCGAAGGCAGCCCCCUGGGUCAAGAUUGACGCUCAUGCACGAAAGCGUGGGGAGCAAACAGGAUUAGAUA
rnacentral:rRNA from 1 species